AGGAGAGUUUGAUCCUGGCUCAGGAUGAACGCUGGCGGCGUGCCUAACACAUGCAAGUCGAACGGACUUUUUACAGACUGCGAUUCGUCAAAGGAAGUUCAAGGUUAGUGGCGGACGGGUGAGUAACGCGUGGGUAACCUGCCUCGUAGAGGGGGAUAACAGUUGGAAACGAUUGCUAAUACCGCAUAAGCCCACAGGACCGCAUGGUCCAGGGGGAAAAGAUUCAUCGCUACGAGAUGGACCCGCGUUUGAUUAGUUAGUUGGCGGUGUAACGGACCACCAAGACGACGAUCAAUAGCCGGACUGAGAGGUUGAACGGCCACAUUGGGACUGAGACACGGCCCAAACUCCUACGGGAGGCAGCAGUGGGGAAUAUUGCACAAUGGGGGAAACCCUGAUGCAGCGACGCCGCGUGGGUGAAGAAGUUUUUCGGAAUGUAAAGCCCUAUCAGCAGGGAAGAAAAUGACGGUACCUGACUAAGAAGCCCCGGCUAACUACGUGCCAGCAGCCGCGGUAAUACGUAGGGGGCAAGCGUUAUCCGGAUUUACUGGGUGUAAAGGGAGCGCAGACGGUAUGGCAAGUCUGAAGUGAAAUCAUGGAGCUCAACUCCGUAAUUGCUUUGGAAACUGUCAAACUCGAGUACCGGAGGGGCAGGCGGAAUUCCUGGUGUAGCGGUGAAAUGCGUAGAUAUCAGGAAGAACACCGGUGGCGAAGGCGGCCUGCUGGACGGUAACUGACGUUCAGGCUCGAAAGCGUGGGGAUCAAACAGGAUUAGAUACCCUGGUAGUCCCCU
rnacentral:rRNA from 1 species